GAAAUGCGAUAAGUAGUGUGAAUUGCAGAAUUCAGUGAAUCAUCGAAUCUUUGAACGCACAUUGCGCCCCUUGGUAUUCCAUGGGGCAUGCCUGUUCGAGCGUCAUUUGUACCCUCAAGCUCUGCUUGGUGUUGGGUGUUUGUCCCGUCUCCGCGCGUGGACUCGCCCCAAAGUGAUUGGCAGCCGGCGUACUGGUCCCGGAGCGCAGCACAUGUCGCGCAAACGAGUGCCUUGGUACGGCGGCGUCCAUAAGCCCCUCUCUCACGCUCUUGACCUCGGAUCAGGUAGGGAUACCCGCUGAACUUAAGG
rnacentral:misc_RNA from 1 species